GGCUAACGCUGGCGGCGUGUCUUAGCCAUGCAAGUCGAGCGGACUUAUGGGGUAACUUAUAAGUCAGCGGCGGACGGCGGAGUAACACGUAGCUAACCUACCCUCUGGACGGGGAUAACCUACCGAAAGGUGGGCUAAUACCCGAUGUAGUCAUCCUGUAUAGGGGUGAUGAAAGGUGGGCUUCUGUUUACAAGCUCAUGCUGGAGGAGGGGGCUGCGGCCUAUCAGGUAGUUGGUAGGGUAAUAGCCUACCAAGCCGAUGACGGGUAGCCGGCCUGAGAGGGUGACCGGCCCGAGGGGCACUGAGAUACGGGUCCCACUCCUACGGGAGGCAAGCAGGCUAGGAAUUUGGGCAAUGGGGGAAACCCUGACCCAGUGACGCCGCGUGCAGGAAGGAGCCCUUCGGGGUGUAAACUGCUGUCGUGUAGGGAGAAGGGUACUAAGGUGAACAAUCUUAGUACUUGACGGUACUACAGGAGGAAGCCCAGGCUAACCUCGUGCCAGCAGCCGACGGUAAAAUAGCGUACU
rnacentral:rRNA from 1 species